UUUAUUUAGUGGGGGAGGGGUGAGUAAGGAGUGAAUAAUGUGUUGAGUAAAAAGGAAUAGUGUGGGGAAAGGGGGAUUAAAACCGUAUGAUACUUUGAUGCCGCAUGGCAAUGAAGUCAAAUAUUUAUAGGGUAUGGGAUGAGUUCGCGUCUGAUUAGCUGGUUGGUGAGGUAAAGGCCCACCAAGGCGAUGAUGCGUAGCCGGACUGAGAGGUUGAACGGCCACAUUGGGACUGAGACACGGCCCAGACUCCUACGGGAGGCAGCAGUAGGGAAUUUUCGGCAAUGGGGGGAACCCUGACCGAGCAAUGCCGCGUGAAUGAAGAAAUACUUCGGUAUGUAAAGUUCUUUUAUAGGGGAAGAAUGGCUUGCGGGAAAGCAAGAAUGACGGUACCCUUUGAAUAAGCCCCGGCUAACUAUGUGCCAGCAGCCGCGGUAAUACAUAGGGGGCAAGCGUUAUCCGGAAUUAUUGGGCAUAAAGGGUGCGUAGGCGGUAUGUUAAGUUUAAGGUAUAAGCUCAUGGCUUAACCAUGGGAGGCUUUAGAAACUGGCAUACUAGAGUGCAGUAGAGGCAAGUGGAAUUCCAUGUGUAGCGGUAAAAUGCGUAAAUAUAUGGAGGAACACCAGUGGCGAAGGCGGCUUGCUGGGCUGUAACUGACGCUGAGGCACGAAAGCCUCUUUAGAAGACACCUNUUNNNUNCCCUNNUNNUCCNCNCCGCCCUAUACGGUACUAAGGGUCGGGGGAACCUCGGGGCGGAAGCAAAUGCUAAUAAUUACUCCGCCCGAGUAGUACGGGCGCAAGCAUGAAACUCAAAGGAAUUGACGGGGCCCCGCACAAGCCGUGGAUCAUGUUGUUUAAUUCGAGGAUACGCGAAGAACCUUACCAGGCCUUGACAUCCUCUGCGAAGCUAUGGAGACAUAGUGGAGGUUAACAGAGAGACAGGUGGUGCAUGGUUGUCGUCAGCUCGUGUCGUGAGAUGUUCGGUUAAGUCCGGUAACGAGCGCAACCCUUAUUGCUAGUUGCCAUCAUUAAGUUGGGGACUCUAGCGAGACUGCCAGUGACAAACUGGAGGAAGGCGGGGAUGACGUCAAAUCAUCAUGCCCCUUAUGGCCUGGGCUACAAACGUGAUACAAUGGCUGGAACAAAGAGAAGCGAA
rnacentral:rRNA from 1 species